UUUAAUAAAAGGUAACAUAUACUCUUCAUAUAAUUUUUUUAAUAAAUGUAAAAAGAGACGUAAAAGUUGUUAGUGCCAUCUCAUUCUCCCCAUUCACUGUUCACGGCCAAAAUCAACCGGAGAAGCCAUCGCCGUCGUCAUGGCCAUUUUUGCCGGCGAAAUCGCAAAUACUCUCGCCCUCACCUAUCUUCAUCUCCACCGCACACCAUCACCAUUUUCCUUUCCUCCUCCAACCUCCACAAAACGAACAACCUAAGCUACCGUAUCACUAGAUCUGACCGAGAAACCUCUUCGUCGCCAUGACCUCGCACCCUCACCCACCUAGUUCUCCUCUCUACUGACCAGUGCCGCCUUUCUCUCUCACUCUAUUGUGAAGCAGUGGUCUUCGGCGUGCACCACCAGCGCCGCUUUCUCCCUUCGCGGUUAAUCAGUGGACUCAAGAUGUGCCCUAAGAUCUGAUAAAUUAAUGUUAAUAGAUUGUGGAGAAGAAGAAAAAAAGGGAUGGGUAUGGAAUGAAAAUGGUUGAAAAGGACCAGAUAGUGGGUGAAGAAGAAGA
rnacentral:lncRNA from 1 species